AAGGACGCAUACAUGCACACACAUUCUUGCUCACUGCCUGAGGAUACACAGCCGGCGGCAGCAGGAGACGGAAGAGUCUGAGCAAAACAAAAACAUCAAAACAGGCAGGCAGAACACAGGGGGUCUUUACCAUGGCAUGAAGGGGCCCCUGGCCAGGCCUGAUGUCUCCCCCCUCAGCCUGUCAAAAGGCACCGGGCGUCAUACGACCACAUCAACGGGCAGCAUCACGUGCGAAGCGCCGUCUCAUACUCGCCGGCGGCAUGUCGCCGUCCUCGAGACGCAGCCUCAACAAGGACUCACUCGUAAGAGAAGUCAGCGAGAAGAGAAGAUACAAAAUAUCCUCAUCAGUGGCUGACAGCCUGGACUGAGGGUCGAAACAGGACCGAUGCAUCUAUAACUCGCAAAAAAGUGCUUUUGCAACAACGAGUCCUCCAUUAUAUAUAUUAUAGAGAGAGAGCGAGUGAUGUGAAGACAGGCCAGGGAUUCAUCCAAAAAAACAAAGUCCCCUGACAAUAGGCGGCACGCAAUCACAAAUGGCUGGCCCAAAUGCGCCGUCUAACGUCGCAGUUAUUAAACCAUCAUCCGCUCUGAUUUCAGCUCAUUUACGCAUGACCAGCCACAUUAAAAUGGGCCUCUUUUGUU